CGGAGGGAUCAUUAAAGAGUUCUAUAACUCCCAAACCCAUGUGAACAUACCUAACGUUGCCUCGGCAGGUCGCACCUACCUUGUAGCACCCUACCCUGUAGGGCCUACCCGGGAGGUGCGGGUAAGCCUGCCGGCGGCCCACCAAACUCUGUUUGAUAUUGAAUUCUGAACCUAUAACUAAAUAAGUUAAAACUUUCAACAACGGAUCUCUUGGUUCUGGCAUCGAUGAAGAACGCAGCGAAAUGCGAUAAGUAAUGUGAAUUGCAGAAUUCAGUGAAUCAUCGAAUCUUUGAACGCAUAUUGCGCCCAUUAGUAUUCUAGUGGGCAGGACCGUUCGAGCGUCAUUUCAACCCUUAAGCCUUCGUUGCUUAGUGUUGGGAGCCUACGGCAACGUAGCUCCUCAAAGUUAGUGGCGGAGUUGGUUCACACUCUAGACGUAGUAAUUUUUUAUCUCGCCUAUUAGUUGGACUAAUCCCCUGCCGUAAAACCCCCAAUUUAUAUCAAGGUUGACCUCGAAUCGGUUCAGACAAACUCGCUAAAUUGAAGCAUCUUAGUCAGCGAAGGAAAAGAAACCAACAGGGAUUGCCCUAGUAACGGCGAGUGAAGCGGCAACAGCUCAAAUUUGAAAU
rnacentral:rRNA from 1 species